CAGAUAUUCCAAACUUGUUCCUUGGUAACAUUGAUGUCCCCUCCUUUGGCUGUCAUGGAAGCAGAGCUUUCCAUUGAAAGAUCUCACCGGCCGGGGUCAUGUGGUCACGGCUCCACCCGAUUGGGGUUUAUGUGGACCUCCUGGCUUCCUCCUCGGGAGCUUGUUGAAUUGGAUACACCAGUUUCGAUCUCUUGCCUUCUUUGGCAGCCAAAAGGAGGAGGUAUUGACGUGACCAGAAGACAAGUUUGAGUAUCUG